GGAGAGAUGGCCGAGUAGGUCGAAGGCGCUCGCCUGCUAAGCGAGUAAGGGAGAAUAAACUCCCUUCGAGGGUUCGAAUCCCUCUCUCUCCGCCA
rnacentral:tRNA from 1 species